GAGCUUGCUCCCUGAUGUUAGCGGCGGACGGGUGAGUAACACGUGGGUAACCUGCCUGUAAGACUGGGAUAACUCCGGGAAACCGGGGCUAAUACCGGAUGGUUGUCUGAACCGCAUGGUUCAGACAUAAAAGGUGGCUUCGGCUACCACUUACAGAUGGACCCGCGGCGCAUUAGCUAGUUGGUGAGGUAACGGCUCACCAAGGCGACGAUGCGUAGCCGACCUGAGAGGGUGAUCGGCCACACUGGGACUGAGACACGGCCCAGACUCCUACGGGAGGCAGCAGUAGGGAAUCUUCCGCAAUGGACGAAAGUCUGACGGAGCAACGCCGCGUGAGUGAUGAAGGUUUUCGGAUCGUAAAGCUCUGUUGUUAGGGAAGAACAAGUGCCGUUCAAAUAGGGCGGCACCUUGACGGUACCUAACCAGAAAGCCACGGCUAACUACGUGCCAGCAGCCGCGGUAAUACGUAGGUGGCAAGCGUUGUCCGGAAUUAUUGGGCGUAAAGGGCUCGCAGGCGGUUUCUUAAGUCUGAUGUGAAAGCCCCCGGCUCAACCGGGGAGGGUCAUUGGAAACUGGGGAACUUGAGUGCAGAAGAGGAGAGUGGAAUUCCACGUGUAGCGGUGAAAUGCGUAGAGAUGUGGAGGAACACCAGUGGCGAAGGCGACUCUCUGGUCUGUAACU
rnacentral:rRNA from 1 species